AACCCAUGAUGAGGACACUGGGAUAUCAAAUCAUUGAACCUUUCCAAAUACUUAUACAAAGAUUCUCCCUCUGGUUGUGAAAAUAUACAUAUUUGCGUUCUAAUAGA